GGGCUGUUGUCCCUGGCGUCACUGACAGUGCCAUCUGCAGUCAAUCUCCCUCCACCUCAGCAGGCUCCUGUCCCAUAUGACCAUUUGGGUCACGUCCUCCAACCCCACAGGGGCCCCUGCCAGACCAGCUCUCAGGUAAGGCAGUUAACUCAUUUUUCCAGACAAUGACUCAUGAGAAAAUAUCUCUGAUUUGUGGGAACACGAUGGAUCUGGGAGCUGGCAAACGGCCACGGGGCAGGGACAGCAACCUGAGCACAGAGUGCCAGCUCCCUCCCGUCUCUGGUUUUGCUCAGCAGCAAUUCCCACCCAGAGGCUCAGGCUGAGCUCUAGCUGCUCUCCCCAGCCUCCACCAGGAUGACCCCAGCACCGUGGGCCCUGACAGAAAGACCUGGAGCCAGGUCCUCGAAGGUGGGACUCAGGGAUUGAGAUCAGAAUGAAGCAGAGGCCCUGCCCGUGACUUGCCUCCUGAGAUCAUGAUGACAUUGUCCUGCACUUGCACUCCACAGCGACUUGUCCCUACUAGCUAGUGAGAUCGUGGUGUGUGUAGAAUCUUCGGAGAUUAUGAACUGCCUUGUUCAACCAUAACUUACAGGCUGGGGAAAUAUUAUUUGAAUUAUAUGUGGCUUCUUCACUCAUUAAUUCAGUCAAUAUUUGCUAGCACCUGCUCUGGGCUAGGCCUUGUGGUAGGUCCUGGGGACUCAAAGAGGUAUAAGACAUGGUAUAUAAGACCCCCUGGAGGCAGGGGUUCACAGACAACUGGAGGAGAGAAAGUUGUAAACAAGCAACCCACGAUGUAAGGCGGGAAGUGCCAUGAUAGAGAAAGGGGCCUGAGGAGGUGGGAGAAGAGAGGUGGGAGGGCGUGACUACCUGGGACUCUGAGCAGACUCAGUAGGGAGGUAACACCUGAACUGGUUCUUGAGGAUGAGCAGCAGGGCCCUUCUCAGUGGAGGGAACAGUCUGUGCAAAGGCCAGAGAUUGUGAGGGCGAGAAGGAGUCUUAGGAAGACAACAGGGUAGGAGACAGAAAGAGGAGUGUCAAGAGGUGGGCCUGUGACCCACUGGGAGAAGCCAACGAGUUCGGGCUUUAUCACAUUGACAAUGGAGAGCCGACAGAGGAUUUAACUGGAGAGCUGCUCACUUGGCAUACAGAGCAUGGGAACAGGCUCAUCUGCUAGAGAAGAGCUCCAGUGUGCAGGUCAUGUGGUCAGUGCCUAGAGAGGCAGUGAGAUUUAGGUGGAGAAACCUUUAUGAUGAGGCUGCAGACCAACUGUGCUGCCCACCUUGCUAAUCAACUCUGUAGACCAGUAAGAAAGAGUAUGUCUGGGAGCAGUGGCUUAUGCCUGUAAUCCCAGCACUUUGGGAGGCAGAGGCGGGCAGAUUACGAGGUCAGGAGAUCGAGACCAUCCUGGCCAACAUGGUGAAUCCCCGUCUCUAAUAAAAAUACAAAAAUUAGCCGGAUGUGGUGGCAUGCACCUGUAAUCCCUGCUACUCUGGAGGCCAAGGCAGGAGAAUCUCUUGAACCCGGGAGAUGGAGGUUGCAGUGAGCCGAGAUCACGCCACUGCACUGUAGCCUGGUGACAUGAGCGAGACUCCAUCUCAAAAAAAAAAAAAGAAAGAAAAAG
rnacentral:lncRNA from 1 species